GACUUUCCACCGUUGAAGAUCUUCCUCAGUCUGUGCUUCAGACACCCAAGACUACCAACACAGUCAGCUGAAAGGGAAAAAUAACAUCUGUAAUCAUGAAGAUCCAGGUUGCCGGCUUCCUGCUGAUGGUGCUCUCUGCUGUCGAGCUCUCCGAAGGGCAGCAUGCGAUUGAGAAUAACGUCAUUGACAGCAUGACCAAAGAGCAGUGCAACGACGUCAUGAAAGAAAGAUUCAAUAAGAAAGGGGGCUGCAAGUAUGCAGAAACCUUCAUUAUAGCAUCUCUCCAAGAUGUGAAUGAUCUCUGUCAAAAUGUGAAGGGGAUCAUGCCAGGUUUUAGCAAGAAAAUAUUUAAAGUUGUUGACUGUACGAAAGUUAAAGAUUGUGUCUAUAAUGGUGAUGAUAGCCAUACAAAAACUCAACUUAAACUUGAAUGUAAAGAUAAUCAAGCUGUGCGCUAUGUAGGUGCUAAAAGGCAAAUUUAAAAAAAAGAUGCAUUGCUUACUUAAUGCCAUUAAUAAUAAUAAAAAAGCUAAUGUUUUUCCUGGUUCAAUGUUAAUCUGAUUCUGUAUACAUUAUCCAAAAUAUAUUGUAAAAUUUUUAUCUGAACUUCCAGAUAGCCUCUACUGCAGCAGCUUAACAUUACCAUCUUAUGUUUUGACUUCUUUAAUGUUGAUGUUAUAUCCCAAAUAAACCUAUUGCAUGAUC